rnacentral:lncRNA from 1 species
UGCUUCUGUGACUUUGUUCAAGAUGUUACCUGUGCUGGAAUCUUGUGGAGGAACUAAAGAGAGCCUAUCAACAGUUGUAAAUCAAAGAAAAGACAGAUGUUUGGGCAUUUGUAAGAAACUUGUACUUGAGAAGAUUAGGAAAAUAUUUCGGAUAACCUUGAACUAUUGAUAAGAUUUUAACAGGCAUGUGGGGAGAUUCCUUUGUGAGAAGAGACAACAUUGAAUCUAUCAUAGUGCCUUGCAUAGUAAGGACCUAAUAUGUAUUUGUUGAACAAAUGAAUGAAUACAUGAAGAAUGAAUGGGUCAGUGUCUGCUUGUAUCUAUAUCAGUGUGAUUGAAUUGAUCACAUCUGUUUUCUCUCUCUAUUAGGAGAGAUUUGGAGGAACAUAAGAGAAUAAGGUGCCUGAAGGGAAAAGAAGCCUUGAGGAUAGAGUAGUCUCCAGUGUGAACAUCAACCUGUAACAAGAUAAUCUACAGUAGCAGGCCAGUGGAAGUGUGGACAUCACCCCUUCUACCUCAUUAGGCUCUUAGGUGGAUGAGAACGUUCCACGUCAGCAGUGCUGGUGCCAGUAGCUCCUGCAAAGACAGAAGACCAUGCCAGUGGUUUCAGCAGCAACAGGAGCUGGAGCCCUUGUUGCAGGCAUCAGUGCCCUCCAAAGUGGACAGUGGCAGAUAUGGGUAGACGCUGGAACCGGAAGCAGUGCCUCUGGCAGGCAUCAGCAUCAGUGGCCCCUUUGCUCAGCCCAGCAUGAGUAGCAUAACUGUGAGCUUUUGGUGUUGGUGGUAACAGGAUAUCUGAUGAAGGAGAGUUAGAGCAGCCUAGGAAGAUAGGGGGAAUGGGGAUGGCGAACGCCAUAGGGUAGCUACAGAGCACAUGGGAAAUAUUCCCUGUGUAUUCCCGGAAAUAUUUGGAAGAUGUCUGAAUAGAGGUGGGGGUUGUCUCGUCUACAGAAUGGUUAGAGACAGAGCCAUGCUUUAUGACUAUUUGUGAUCCUAUCAUUGCCCCUAGGCUACAGUAGCUUGAGGAAUACAGAGGGUCGGAAACAAUGAUAUUCGUGAUGGUAAUAUAGGAGGGACUGUAGUUUUCUAAACACAUCAACAAAAUACUGAGAACAGCCAUACGUGCCGAUGAGCACCAUUUGUUUAACUCCCAGGUCCCAAAUGAAGCAGAUAAGUAUAUUAGAUGCAACAUUAUAGAAAUGAUGUUUUUAAAGACAGUGAACCAGGAACUUUAACGGUCUCAUGGGACUGUUUAAUCAUGUGUAUAACUCCUUCGCUAAUUGUCUUCAGAAGCAGGUUAUAAGCUGUAUAUCAGUCUCGUUUUAGAAACAUGGCUCAGUUGGGGACACGAAUGGUGUUACCCUGCUUGUUUAGCCAUCUUUCUAACACUUUGGGCUUCCAUAAGGCACAAGAGGGAGAUGAUAACUUUUGCUGUUGCUAAAACUCAAUUCUACCCUCAAAGAAUGAAUAAAUUAAAAAACAUACAUCAUAAACUCUGAAGGCAUUUCUCAAAAAGGAGUUCUAAGCAGGUAAUUUGGACAGUACAAUUCUCUAUUAUAUAAGAAAGUCUUAUUUAUUGCUAAAAAACCUCAGGCAAAUUGAUUUGUUAUAGCUCAUAGUUUUUCAAAGAUCACAUUUAUUCAUUAAUUUACUCACCAAAUAUCAAUAUUGAAUGUUUACUUUGUGCCAGAUAAUAACCAAAUAAUUAGACAUUUAGAUUCAAAACUGCAAGUGUCAUAAGUCCUCAAAAAAGAGCUACAUAGCAUUAUGAAAACAUAUCUUUGCCUGAGAAGUCAAGGAAGGUUUCCUGGGGAAGUCAUAUUUAAACUAAGUAUUAAAAGAUGAGUAUGAAUUAACUAGGUGAGGAAGGGUGGCACUGACUGAGGCAGAGGGGAUAGCAUGUGCAAAGGUCCUGUGGUGAGGGGGGGCUAGAGCCACAUUCAUUUUUUCUUUACGUGAAGUUAUCCUUUCUCACAAAGUAAAAUUGGGUAAUGGGCAAUUUUAGAAUUCAUAUUUUAUAGAAAUCACAGGAAGAAAAGUUUUCUCUUUAGGAACCAGAACUCAGAACUCACUGUGAUCUUUCCCCCUACCCACUCCUUCCCACCUACUGAAAUUUAUUAGUUUCCUUUUGUGGUGUUAUGUUUCCUUGACUAUUCAUAAUCCUUAUGGCCUUGCAUUGGCAUCUGUGCAUUUGAGGAUGGAGGAACUCUUCCAGUAUUUACAGAUUGACUUUGGCAGGAACAUUAGCUGUGAGCUAACAUCUGCCGCCAAAGCUCCUCUUUUUGCUGAGGAAGACUGGCCCUGAGCUAACAUCCGUACCCAUCUUCCUCUACUUUAUAUGUGGGACGCCUGCCACAGCAUGGCUUGCCAAGCGGUGCCAUGUCCACACCUGGGAUCUGAACUGGUGAACCCCGGGCUGCUGAAGCGGAACGUGGGAACUUAACCACUGCACCAUGGGGCCAGCCCCAUAAUCUCCCUAUUUUAAGGUAAACUGAUUAGCAACCUUAAUUCCGUAUGCAAGUCUUAAUACCUCUCUUUGUCAUGUAACAUAACAUAUUCACAGGUACCGGAGAUUAUGAUGUGG